rnacentral:rRNA from 1 species
CGGUGACCAUAGCGGCGAGGAAACGCCCGGAAACAUUUCGAACCCGGAAGCUAAGCUUGCCAGCGCCGAUGGUACUGCGAGGGGGACCUCGUGGGAGAGUAGGUCGUCGCC